CAAUAGCGUAUAUUAAAGUUGUCGCAGUUAAAAAGCUCGUAGUUGGAUUUCGGGGCAGCCUGGCUGGUCCGCCGCAAGGCGAGUACUGGUCAGCCGCCCUUCCUCUCGAAAGCCCCGACUGCUCUUUAUUGCAGUGGUCGGGUAGUUCGGGACGUUUACUUUGAAAAAAUUAGAGUGUUCAAGGCAGGCCUACGCCUGAAUACAUUAGCAUGGAAUAAUGGAAGAGGACCUCGGUCCUAUUUUGUUGGUUUCCAGGACCGAAGUAAUGAUUAAGAGGGACAGUUGGGGGCAUUCGUAUUUAAUUGUCAGAGGUGAAAUUCUCGGAUUUAUGAAAGACGAACAACUGCGAAAGCAUUUGCCAAGGAUGUUUUCAUUAA
rnacentral:rRNA from 1 species